UGGGGCCCAGGUAUCCUCUGAUAGGGUUGUGGCCUCUGCUUGCCCAUGAGACUGUGAGGGAAGCAGGGGCAAGAUGGAAGGUCAAGGAGAUACAUGCCCUCUUUGACAGAGGUGACAUUGGACUGAACUUUUAAGGAGCACCUUGGGAUAUGUGUCCUUCAUAUGCACAAGGAUCAGUAGCUAAAUUAGUUUCAGAAAACAGAGGCCAACAAGUAAUACUGAUGUGGCUUAAAGAGAGAAGGGAAUUAGCUUCAGAGGCUUGCUUCUGUCAUUGGCAGUGUUCAAGUAGUCAAGUAAAAGUAUUAAAGUUAAUAAUGAGCUAGAGAAAGAGACAGGAAUCUUUAAUUAAUUAAUUAAAAAAAAUAAUGAGCUAGAGACAUUUGCCAUGAAGGAUAUAGGGAGCUGGUCUGGGGCCAUGUAGAUAAGAAUGACUUUGGGAAUGAAGAAGAGAAAUGCUGGCAAUGCAGGAACAGGACACUGGCCUGUGGGAGGAACCAGGAGCCCUGGAUGAUUCCCAUUCCUAGGAACUGAGUAGAUGGUGGUGCUGCACUGAUUGCAGACAGAAGUGCAUGGUAUGUGAUGCAGGGGAAAAAGCACCCUUAGUAAGAAAGUUAGUGAAUUGUGGCUCGUUUUCCAGUGUGUUCCCAGGCUUUUCUGAGGCCAGAGUAUGUGGUGUGUGUUCAUUUUGGUGGUUUUUGUUUUCUUGUGUUUUGACCUUAUAAUUAUAUCAUUUUCCCCUUUCCUUUUCUUCUUCCAAAUCCUCCAUGUGCCUCUCCUACUUUUCUUUCUCUGAUAUUCGUGGCCUUUUUCUUUAAUUGUUGUUACAUAUGAGAAUAUGUGUGUGCGCACACGCUUGCACGCAAGCAUGUUCAUGUCUGUUUGUCUUUUCCUAACUAGGUAAGUGCAACCUUCUCAGCCUGCAUCAUGUCAUUUGUAUGCUUAUGUCUUCGGGACUGAUUUAAAAUUGGAUAACCAAGUGUUGCACUCUUCCCUGAGGAAGACUGUCUAGGAUAAGUCCUCUUGAGUUUUCCAUUCCACAGUAGCAUGUCUGAUGGUUUCAUCCUGUCCUUUUCAAGUAACAUUUAGGCAGUCGUGUUAUGAGAUUUCAUGUAUGUAGCUUCUGAUAUUUCUAGAAGAUACAAUCUUUCACCCCUUCUUCCUCAAUGAUUACUGAGCCUCAGACUCAAGAGUUAUGUUGUAAAUGUAUCCUUUGGAACUAGACUCCACAGGUCUGCAUAUAUUGAUUGGUUGUGGUUUUCCCCUAAUGGUCCCUGACUUUUACAAAGAGAAGUAUCCUUGAUGGUGAUUGAAGACUGCACUUAUCUGUGGGGAUAAUGAGAAGUAUUUGGAAUGUAUCUCAGGGUUAUGCUGGUUUAGUAAAGUGGUAGUUGUAGGUUCUCCUCCAAGAUCCAUGACUUCAUUAGCUCUGGGUAACUGGUUAGGUUUCCAGUCCCAGGCAUGAGUUCCCUCCUAUUGAACAGGCCUUGAGUCCAAUUAGGGAAAGACGGUUGUAGAAGUUGUAGAGUGUAUUGUACUAAUAAAAUGUAGGAACAAUAACUAAGCAAAUAUAACUAAAAUAACUAAGCAAUAACUAAGAAAAUAUAAAGUCAGAAUUUUGCCUUUGAUGAAAUUACAGGUGAGGUAAUUUUAGUGCAGUUUAAAUGCUACACGUUUGAAAGUUUCAAACUAGCCAGAUAUGAUGGUGGCUCACACCUGUAAUCCCAGCACAUGGAAGGCCAGGACAGAAGGGUUGUUGUUAGCUCCAGGCCAGCCUGGGCUACAGAGUAAAGCUCUAUUCAAGAAAGAAAAGAGCCGAGCAGUGGUGGCACACACCUUUAAUCCCAGCACUCAGGAGGCAGAGGCAGGAAGAUGUCUUGUGAGUUCGAGGCCAGCUUGGUGACAAAAUACCUGACCAUUAAAGCAACAUAAAGAAGGUGAAGUUUAGGGCUGGAGAGAUGGCUCAGCAGUUAAGAGCACUGGCUGCUCUUCCAGAGGUCCUGAGUUCAAUUCCCAGCAACCACAUGGUGUCUCUCAACCAUCUGUGAUGAGAUCUGGUGCCUUCUUCUGGCCUGCAGGCAUACAUGCAGGCAAAAUGCUGUGUACAAAAUUAAUUAAUUAAUUUAAAAAAAGAGGGUGAAGUUUAUAUUGGUUCACAGUUCAAGGGUACGGUCCACCAUGGUGGGGAAGCCAUGGUAGCAGAAUUUUGGGACAGCUAGUCUCAUUAUGUAACACCAUGGAAACAGCCAGUCUUGGCUUCUUAUAAUCAUCUCAGGUCUCAGGGUCACAGAGACAGGUAGGUUUCUAAAGCUGUUUGAUCAACCAGUCUAGAUAAAUUGAUGAGCUUCAGGUUCAGUGAGGGAUCCUGAAUCAAAACACAAGCACACAUACACUAACUAGUACACACCCUAUAUAUAGACACAACUUUUUUUUUUAUUAGAAUUCAGUGGUUUUGGGUAGAUCCUACAGACCACAGAGGUCUAUAACCACACCACAGUCGGCUAUAGAACAUACUAGCUGUUACCUACCCCUAACUUUUCAUUCAGCCCUGGUUCUAGGAAGUUUCCAGUUUACUGUUUAUUCGCCUAUUUCUGACAUUACUUAUAGAUACUCAAAUAAUGCAUGGUCUGUGAUUGCUUCUUUCUCUGUGAGCAUGGCAUUUUCAGGGAUCUCUACAUUGUACCAUGUAUCAAUUUCAUUCUAUGUAUUCAUUGUCUAAAUAUAUUGGGUUUUGGUUUGGCUUGGUUUGGUUUUCCAAAACAGGGUUUCUCUGUGUAACUGCCCUAGCUCUUAGACCAGGCUGGCCUCAAACUCACAGGGAUCCGCCUGCCUCUGCCUCCCAAGUGUUGGGAUUAAAGGUGUGCAUCACCAUCGCCCUGCUUAUUUUGGUUUUUUAAAUUCACUCAUCUUCUUAGGCAGUGGUUUUCAACCUUCCUAAUGCUGUUACCCUUUAAUACAGUUUCUUAUAUUUGUGGUGACCCCAACAAUAAUUAUUUUUGUUGCUAUUUCAUAAUAAUUUUGCUACUGUUAUAAAUGUAAAUAUUGAUAUGGGACCCCUGUGAAAGUCAUUCAACCCCUCCUCCUAGGGAUCAUGACUCACAGAUUGAGAACCACUGCUCUUAGGCAUUUGAGUUGUUUCCAGCUUUUGGUUUUUUCACUUUCUUGAUGUGUCUUUACUUCACAGAAAAAUUUGUUAAUGUUAUUGUUGUUUUUAAAUUAUUUAAAUGUUAUUUUUAAGUGUGUACCUGUGUGUGCAUGCAUGUGUACACACGUGAGCGCAGUUGUCUCUUGAAGUCAGAAGAGGGCAUCAAAUCCACUGGAGUUAGAGCUACAGGUGGUUGAAAACCAUCUAAUAUGAAGACUAGGAACACACUCAGGUCCUCUGGAAAAGCGAUGCAUGCUCUUAACCCCCAGCCAUCUCUCCAGCCCCUCACAAAUGGUUUUUGCUUGCUUGCUUGCUUGCUUGCUUGCUUGCUUGCUUGCUUGCUUGCUUGCUUGCUUGUCUGUUUUGCCAUCCUGGAAUUGAACAAACCUAGAACUUUGUAUGUGUAGGCAAGCAUUUUAGCACUGAGCUACAUCCUCAGCUGUUUUAUUUUGAGGCAUGAUCGCACAGUAUAGGUCAGGCUGGCCUGGAACUCGCUAGGCUGCCCCCAGAUGGCCUGGAACUGAAAAUCUUCUUGCUUUAGCCACCUGAGUACUUGGAUUACAGGCAUGCACUGUCACAGCCAGCCAAAAAAGAUUGAUUUGGUUAUUGUAUGCUAUUUAGUUUUAUGUUUAACUUGUCAUUUUCUCUGAAAAAAAUCUAGUUGGUAGUAUGAUAGACUUACGUUGUUUUAGAUGAAUUUGGGAAGUCCUAUUUUACAAUAUUGUUUUCUGUUGCUUCUUGGUGCGGUUGUCAGAGUGUUACUCUUACAGUGUUGUCUUCUAUUGGAUGAUUACUUUGGGAGUUGUUUGUUUGCUUUUAUUAUUUCCUUUCAACAGUUUCUCAAAGUGUGAUUUAUACCUGGUAUGGUGGCAUAGUCCCCUAAUCCAAGUGCUCAGGAGGCAGAGGCAGAUAGAUCUCUCUGUGAGUUCAAGACCAGCUUGGUCUAAAUAGUGAGUUUCAGGCUGACCAGGGACAAGUUGACAGUUGUUUUUUAAAGCAUUUCUAUUGCAUUCUUACUGCCUUUGGGUUUCUUCUGCAUGGUGAGACAUCAGCUUAUAAGUGAGGAUUUAUUUUUCUCUUGUUGUUUUCAAGGUUUUUUUUUCUUUUUGGUUAUUAAUGUAUGUAUGUAUGUAUGUAUUGGAACAGAGUUUCUCUGUGUAGUCUUGGCUGUCCUGGAACUCACUCUGUAGACCAGACUGGCCUCGAACUCUGAGAUCCAUCUGCCUCUGCCUCCUGAGUACUGGGGUUAAAGGCAUGUGCCACCAUACCCAGCUUAAAAAUGUAUUUUUAGUUGCCACUUUGAAAUAUGAUGAAACUGCCAGGCUGUGGUGACACCUAUUUUGAUGAAUGAGUACUCAAAUUAUUCAGUUACAUAAGGUAAACUUGUAUGAAAUCACUGUAAGAAAAACUACAUCUGCCAAUGGUUGUGGGUGGUGGUGCUGGCAGUGGUGGUGGUAGUGAUGUUGGCGGCAGCACAGGACUUUAAUCCCAGCACUCAAGAGGCAGAGGCAGGCCAGUCUCGGAGUUCAGAGCCAACCUUGUCCACUGAACGAGUCCCAGGACGGCCAAGGCUAUGCAGAGAAACCCUGUAUGAAAAAAAAAAAAAAACCUGACAUCCAGUCACUGUUUCAUGGAUUGCUUCCUGUUUGCUGUUAGAGGCUUUUUGUUGUUUUAAAUAUGGAUCAGUUUCCUUUGAAUAUCUUAUAAUUUAGAUGUCUUAGAAACCACAUUGUGACUGACCUCUCACCCUCCACAUUGUAGCAUCUUGUUAAUCUUUGCUUGUCUGUGUGUUUAAUGAUUAGCCACAUUCUGUUUUGGUUUUUUUUUUUUCCUUUAUAUGGGUGUUGGAGUUAGACUCCCAGCCUUGUACAUUCUAGACAACCACUGCACUAUGAAAUUACAUUCCCAGGACAAGCCAAAUUCUUUAGUGAGGUAUUUGCUAAUGAGGUCUUUUUUUUUUUUUUUUUUUUUUUUGGUUUUUCGAGACAGGGUUUCUCUGUGGUUUUGGAGCCUGUCCUGGAACUAGCUCUUGUAGACCAGGCUGGUCUCGAACUCACAGAGAUCCGCCUGCCUCUGCCUCCUGAGUGCUGGGAUUAAAGGCGUGUUCCACCACCGCCCAGCCCGGGUCUUUUUCAUUCUUAUGAUGAGAAUUUGAUGUUAUCCUUCAAGGGAGGAAACCAUGGACAUAUCACUGCUACCCCGAAAUGACUAUGAAUCACCUGUCUCUUUCUUAGUCACACCAGCUAAUGAACUACAUUAAUUUCUGGCUGGUUGUUCUUUUGUUUUUAGCUGCUCCCUGGAAUUUAACUUGCUCUCUAAUUUGAACAUUAACUUUGAGGUAUGGCUCAAUGGUAGAAUGUCUCUCUAGCAUGCAUUGACACCCUGAGUUCAGUCCUAGCUCCCAUUUACCCCAGUUGGGACUUUUUACAGGGUUAGUUUUUGAAAUUAUUGUUUGAAAUUUAUUCUCAAUCCAGGAAGGCUGUUCUUAGCUCUUAUGCUGGUUUUUUGUAGCACAAUCUCUAGUUCGUCUUGGAUCUUCCAGGCGCCUUCUACAUUCUCCAUUGGUUUGAAAGAGCCCUUGGGGCUGGAGAGAUGGCUCAGAGGUUAAGAGCAUUGCCUGCUCUUCCAGAGGUCCUGAGUUCCAUUCCCAGCAACCACAUGGUGGCUCACAACCAUCUAUAAUGGGGUCUGGUGCCCUCUUCUGGCCUGCAGGCAUACACACAGACAGAAUAUUGUAUACAUAAUAAAUAAAUAAAUAUUUAAAAAAAAAAAAAAAGAGCCCUUCAUCUUGAAUGUCAUUCUUGGUGAUGAGGUUCAUUCCUUUGGGAGAUACUGAGAAGGGUGGUCUCUAAGGGGCUCUCCCAAGGCAGAGUUUGAGCCAAGGCUUGAAGAAUGAAGGCAAAGAAGCACUUCUCUUUGUGUUACUUCUCAGCUUUUAGAAAGAGAUGAGGGAACGUGAACUGGCUCUAGCCUGUCUCUUAGCUUCUCUCUCAGCCUGGGCCCUUCCUUUAUGAACAAACCAAGGAUAUGCGGAUCCUUAUAGUCUUAGCAUGCUGUGCUCUAAGGCAAACCUUGACUCUUGACAGCAACUAAGCUGUUAUCUCUUUAUCAAGAAUUGAGCCUCUGCAACAAGUAGCAGGGACAGAAAGAGAAAUGCAGUUAGUUGUUGCUGCCACGGGUCAAAAUAUUUUUUUCAUUAAGCAUUUCUUCAUCUACUGUUUGUCCUUUGGAACAUUUCCAGAAACUUAAAAUGGUAGGUCUUAUUUUCAAGUUUUCAUCAGUUUCAUUAGAGCUUGGAAUCCACAGAGCCCUCAGCCUGCUGUUCUAGAUGUCUGUCUGCUCUAAGUAACCUUUUAGGCUGUUACUGUGCGUGUGUGUUAGUGUUUGGGAGGGUUGUGUAGGUUUGGACAAUAUAUGCUUGCACAUACAUUCAGUAUGCUCUGGAGGCUAGAUGACAGCUGUAGGAUGUCAUUCCUUAGUCACUGCGAACCCCUUUCUGUCUGCCUGCCUUCUUUCCUUUCUUUCUGCUUUUGACAGUCUCUAAACUGGCCUAAUUAGACGCCAGCAAACCCCAGGGACUAGUUUGUCUCCACUUAGCUAUAUUAGGAGUGCAAACCCAUGCCACGACAUCCGCUUUUUUAUAUGGUAUCCGAGGGUUGAACUCAGAUCCUCGUAUUUGCAUAGCAAGUGCUUGACUGAGCCAUCUCCCCAGCAACUGCUUUCUGGUUUUUGUGUGUUUAUUUUGUUUUCAUUGAGUUUGCAUCUCACUAUGUAGCCUAGGCUGGCCGUCAAGUCUCAAUGCCUUUCCCAAGUGCUGGGAUUACAGGCGUGCGCCACCACUGCCCGGCCCGGGUCUUUUUCAUUCUUAUGGUGAGAAUUUGAUGUUAUCCUUCAAGGGAGGAAACCAUGGACAUAUCACUGUAACAUCCUCUUGUGAAACUGUUUUAACUUUAAUUCCAAAAAUCAAAUAAAGAUAAUACCAAGAUGAAACUAUAAAUUAGCUUACUUUUAAAGAUGGGAAGGUAUAAAAAGAAAAUAUAAGUAUCAACCUAGUAGUAAUUUAAACACAUAGUAAACUAUAAUUAGCCAUCAGGCAGUGUUAGCACAUGCCUUUGCUCUCAGCACCCAGGGGGAGGAGAAGGGGGAGAGAGAAAGAGAGUGAGAGAGAGAUUAGCCUGAGAUCUGUGACUGCAAAGGAUGACUCGGUAAGACUCUAGCAACAUUCUUGGAAUAAAAUACUGGAAGGGAAAGUGUACACACUGUAGCAGCAAUCUUUUUUAAAAUUACAGUUAUUGUUUGUGUGUGGUGGCAUGCAUGUGCACUAGUUCUACAUAUAUGUAGAAGUCUUGGACAGCUUUCUUUUUUGGGAAUUAGAUUUUCUCUCUCUAUCCUGUGGGUCUCAGGGACAAAACUUGAGACCCUAGUUUUGGCAGGCUGUUCUUCACCCAUUGAAGCCAUCUUACUAGCCCAGGGGUAACAUUCUUAGAGAAGCUGAGUGAUUAUAACAAAGUGGUCUUAAGUUUAGUGGAAUGUGGUAAGGGGAUGGGAUUUAAGAUAUAAAAAAGGCAUGUUUAACAGUGGCCAGAAAUACUAGACAAAAGGCAGUUUUGAGUUCAGAGACUUGCUAAGCAGAUUAAAACUCACUGCAAAGCCAAUACAAUUCAAUAUUUAAAAAGUUGAAAUGGGCCAGUAAUUAACGACUAGACAGUCUCACAACUGUGUGUCUCAAAAUUCAGCAUUUGUUUAACUCAAUGUUAUUGCAGCAGAUAGGAUUAGGAGAUUCUGGUGAAUCUCUUGGAGUUUUAGAAAGCUAAUCUGUUAUUAUACUGACCUCUGUCUGGAUCUGAGAAAGAACCUUAUAGUUAAAUAGUGAAUAAUUUGUCAAGGAUAAGUAAAGUGGAAUAAAGACCUAUGUUGAGCUGUCAAAUUUCUGAAAAGAAAGCGUGUUCUCUAGAGCCCUUAUGGAGGUGGGGUGGGAGCUUAUCUCACUAAAGUCCUCAUGGAGACAUGGGUUACUUGUUUCUCUAGAGCAGUUACGGGGGUGGGGUGGAUGCUUGUUUCUCUAAAGCCUUUUUGGAGGUGUGAGGGUCUGCUUGUUCUCUAGACCCCUUAUGGAGAGGUGAGGGUGUGUGGGUGUGUUGUGUGUGCACGUGUGCUGAGAUUGAGUCCAGGGCUUUACAUUUGCUGUGCCAUUGUUUCACCAAGUUACAUCCCCAGCCCUGGAUUUUAUAUUUAUUUAUUUAUUAUGUAUACAUGCAGGCAGAAUGCUGUAUACAUAAUAAAUAAAAAAUUAAAAAAAAAAA